CGAGGAUGUACGGAAAUUUAUGUGCUCGUCGUCGUAUACGUAUACGUAGAAGGGUUGAAUCAUUAAAAGGCUCCCGGGUAUAUAAAUGUGCGAGAGGACGGCAAAAAAAAAAAAAAAAAAACACCGACUUGUUAGAUAUCUGCCUAUAACACGUAUAACGUACGGCGAGUAUGUAUGUAUUCGCGAUUCGAAAAACGGUGACGGAGAAACGGU